AUUGAACGCUGGCGGCAGGCCUAACACAUGCAAGUCGAGCGAGCGGCGGACGGGUGAGUAAUGUCUGGGAAACUGCCUGAUGGAGGGGGAUAACUACUGGAAACGGUAGCUAAUACCGCAUACCAUCAGAUGUGCCCAGAUGGGAUUAGCUAGUAGGUGGGGUAACGGCUCACCUAGGCGACGAUCCCUAGCUGGUCUGAGAGGAUGACCAGCCACACGGGAACGGAGACACGGUCCAGACUCCUACGGGAGCCGGCGGGGGGAACUUGUGCACAAUGGGCGCAGCCCGGAGGCGCCCAGGCAGGGGGUGUGAAGAAGGCCUUCGAGUUGUAAGGCACUUUGGCCGGGGGGGCGUUACCCGCAGAGGAAGCGCCGGCUAACUCCGUGCCAGCAGCCGCGGUAAUAC
rnacentral:rRNA from 1 species